UACGGAGGGCGCAAGCGGUGUUCGGAAUCACUGGGCGUAAAGCGCGUGUAGGCGGCUUGGUAAGUCGGGUGUGAAAGCCCGGGGCUCAACCCCGGAACUGCAUUCGAAACUGCCUCGCUCGAGUCCCGGAGAGGGUGGUGGAAUUCCCGGUGUAGAGGUGAAAUUCGUAGAUAUCGGGAGGAACACCAGUGGCGAAGGCGGCCACCUGGACGGUGACUGACGCUGAGACGCGAAAGCGUGGGGAGCAAACAGG
rnacentral:rRNA from 1 species